rnacentral:misc_RNA from 1 species
AAAAAAUAAGAAGCUUAAAAGAAGAAGAAGAUAUGCAUCGAUCAGCGAGCUGGAACAGGAUGGCCAAUGACUACUUCCUCCACUCAUCGCAAAAUGGGGCAGCAGGGAUGAGAAUAUCAUCUUCAGCGGAAGAGAAGGAACUGCCAGCUUAUGAUCCAAUCAUGGAAAUGGCAAAGAAAGAAAAACGCAUUAAGUUUGCUGAGAAUGCUGUGCAUGUUAUUCCUUUUGUGCUGAUGCUUUGUGCAUUUCUUUUAUGGUUCUUUUCCAAUCCAGAUGUGGAGGUGGGAAAUAAGACGGAUUCCAUAACAGCAAGAAUUGAAGGAUUGACGAUCGAAGGUGACAUUGAUACUGACAGUGAUGGUACCCAAACAGGGUUUUUACCAAUUGAUUUGGUGGAUCAGGACGCUACUAGACGAACAACAGAUCAUAAAAUUGCCAGAAAAUUUGCAAAUAUAUCUUAAUGACGAUGCUGAUGGCAAUUUUACUCUUCUGUACUUUCAUUUUCAGAACCCAUUUGCUUUAUAAUUUCAUGUUUAAUCGAAUCUCUGAACGCAGAAGGCUCUUAUAAUAA